UAUAGGUUUCGGAAUCGGAGAGGGAGCCUGAGAGACCGCUACCAUAUCCAAGGAUAGCAGCAGGCGCGUAAAUUACCCACUGUGGACUCCACGAGGUAGUGACGAGAAAUAUCGAUGCGAAGCGUGUAUGCGUUUUGCUAUCGGAAUGAGAGCAAUGUAAAACCCUCAUCGAGGAUCAACUGGAGGGCAAGUCUGGUGCCAGCAGCCGCGGUAAUUCCAGCUCCAGAAGCAUAUGCUAAAGUUGUUGCAGUUAAAAAGCUCGUAGUUGAAUUUCUGGCAUGGGCGACCGGUGCUUUCCCUGAAUGGGGAUUGAUUGUCUGUGUUGCCUUGGCCAUCUUUUUCUUUUCUUUUUUGGUGAGAAAUCUUUCACUGUAAUCAAAGCAGAGUGUUCCAAGCAGGUCGUAUGACCGGUAUGUUUAUUAUGGGAUGAUAAGAUAGGACUUGGGUGCUAUUUUGUUGGUUUGCACGCCUGAGUAAUGGUUAAUAGGAACAGUUGGGGGUAUUCGUAUUUAGGAGCUAGAGGUGAAAUUCUUGGAUUCCGAAAGACGAACUAGAGCGAAGGCAUUACCAAGCAUGUUCAUAAUC
rnacentral:rRNA from 1 species